UACGUAGGGUGCGAGCGUUGUCCGGAAUUACUGGGCGUAAAGAGCUCGUAGGUGGUUUGUCGCGUUGUUCGUGAAAACUCACAGCUUAACUGUGGGCGUGCGGGCGAUACGGGCAGACUGGAGUACUGCAGGGGAGACUGGAAUUCCUGGUGUAGCGGUGGAAUGCGCAGAUAUCAGGAGGAACACCGGUGGCGAAGGCGGGUCUCUGGGCAGUAACUGACGCUGAGACACGAAGGCCAGGGGAGCAAACGGG
rnacentral:rRNA from 1 species